UCCUCGUUAGUAUAGUGGACAGUAUCUCUGCUUGUCACGCAGAAGACCAGGGUUGGAUUCCCUGACGGGGAG
rnacentral:tRNA from 1 species